rnacentral:rRNA from 1 species
UACGAAGGGGGCUAGCGUUGCUCGGAAUCACUGGGCGUAAAGCGCACGUAGGCGGCUUUCUAAGUCAGGGGUGAAAUCCUGGAGCUCAACUCCAGAACUGCCUUUGAUACUGGAAAGCUUGAGUUCGGGAGAGGUGAGUGGAACUGCGAGUGUAGAGGUGAAAUUCGUAGAUAUUCGCAAGAACACCCGUGGCGAAAGCGGCUCUCUGGAACGGUACUGACGCUGAGACGCGAAAGCGUGGGGAGCGAACAGG